rnacentral:rRNA from 1 species
CGACCUUCGGGUGUCAGUGGCAGACGGGUGAGUAACACGUGGGAACGUACCCUUCGGUUCGGAACAACUCAGGGAAACUUGAGCUAAUACCGGAUACGCCCUUCGGGGAAAGGUUUACUGCCGAAGGAUCGGCCCGCGUCUGAUUAGCUAGUUGGUGAGGUAACGGCUCACCAAGGCGACGAUCAGUAGCUGGUCUGAGAGGAUGAUCAGCCACACUGGGACUGAGACACGGCCCAG